rnacentral:rRNA from 1 species
CAGUAGCCACGGUAAUACGAAGGGUGCAAGCGUUACUCGGAAUUACUGGGCGUAAAGCGUGCGUAGGUGGUGGUUUAAGUCCGUUGUGAAAGCCCUGGGCUCAACCUGGGAAUUGCAGUGGAUACUGGGUCACUAGAGUGUGGUAGAGGAUAGUGGAAUUUCCGGUGUAGCAGUGAAAUGCGUAGAGAUCGGAAGGAACAUCUGUGGCGAAGGCGACUAUCUGGGCCAACACUGACACUGAGGCACGAAAGCGUGGGGAGCAAACAGGAUUAGAGACCCCUGUAGUCCCUGUCUCUUAUAC